GGGCCCGUCGCGAGACACGUCUGGACAUUCGUCUGGCAGGAAGCGUCUCCCUGUCACAGCCCCGUUUCCUCGCGCUCAAGUCGGGAUCUCGAGUUGACGUGACGCUGUUUAUAGUACCUCGCGGUUCCUCCCGAGAAAUGGUGGGACCACUCCCUGCCUGCUGCAAGAAGGACAAGAAGGUCAUUUAUCAAGUUAUUUCUUAUUGAUAACUAAAAUGCUGAUGGCUACGUCGCACGGGUAGAAUCAUAGCAGGUCAGAACUACGGAAGCCCAGAAGACCUGAAAGACCCCCUGGUCAACCCCUGCUCUAUUGGAUAAAAUCCACUGAAAAUUCAGCUCUGGGCUGAGACAGAUGCACAGGGGCUGCAAUCAAUAUCAGAAGGAUCCCUUACUCAGGAGCACAUACUGCCCAGGUGGUCAUUUGAAGUGGCUCAUCAAAUUUGCUCUUCUUGGUAAAGAAAAUGUGGUACAUAUAUACAAUGGAAUAUUACUCAGCCAUAAAGAAGAAUGAAAUCAUGGUAUUUGCUAGUAAAUGAAUGGAACUGGAGACUC